rnacentral:RNase_P_RNA from 1 species
CGGGUCGGCAAGACGGCCGCGUCAUCCGGUGCGAACCGGGUGCCGAGGAACGUCCGGGCUCCGCAGGGCAGGACGGUGGGUAACACCCACCCGGGGCAACCCGCGAGACAGUGCCACAGAAAGCAGACCGCCCCGGGCUUCGGCCCGGGGUAAGGGUGAAACGGUGGGGUAAGAGCCCACCAGCGGCCGCGGUGACGCGGUCGGCUCGGUAAACCUCGUCCGGAGCAAGGCCAGACAGGGAACGAUGGGGCUGCCCGUCCCGUUCCCGGGUAGGCCGCUGGAGGGCUGCGGCAACGCAGCUCCGAGAGAGAUGGCCGUCCAGCCGGUGUCGCGCAAGCGCCCGGUGAACAGAACCCGGCGUAUCAGCCGGCCCGCUCG